UGAGGAAUAUUGGUCAAUGGGCGCGAGCCUGAACCAGCCAAGUCGCGUGAGGGAAGACUGCCCUAUGGGUUGUAAACCUCUUUUGUCGGGGAGCAAAGACAUCACGUGUGAUGUUUUGAGAGUACCCGAAGAAAAAGCAUCGGCUAACUCCGUGCCAGCAGCCGCGGUAAUACGGAGGAUGCGAGCGUUAUCCGGAGUUAUUGGGUUUAAAGGGUGCGUAGGCGGAACGGUCAGUCAGCGGUAAAAUCGUGGAGCUCAACUCCAUCCCGCCGUUGAAACUGCCGUUCUAGAGUGAGUGAGAGGUAUGCGGAAUGCGUGGUGUAGCGGUGAAAUGCAUAGAUAUCACGCAGAACCCCGAUUGCGAAGGCAGCAUACCGGUGCUCAACUGACGCUGAGGCACGAAAGCGUGGGGAUCGAACAGG
rnacentral:rRNA from 1 species